rnacentral:lncRNA from 10 species
GCCAGAAUGACAGUGUGCAGGAGAUGAGCCCAGGGGAGGCCAGGACAGAGCACUCGGUGUCUGCGGUCUAAUGGAGGCGCUGGCUUUUAUCUUGAGAGUAAUGGUGCUUUGAGCAGAGGAGCACUGGGACGCCCUCCCCACCCCUGGCUGCUCCCUGUGGAAUAGACCGUGGGGCCCAAAGAGCUGGAGAUCUAAUAAGAGGCUCUAAUGGAGUUCAGAAGCCAACAGUGAUUGUUUGAGCCAGGAGAUGAUACAUGCAAAGUACCAGGUGUUUAUCUUUCAGACGUACUUCUGCACAUGUGCCAAAUGACAUGAAGUACUAGGAGGCUCACUGCAGUAUUAUUUAUAAUAGCAAAAGACCAGAAAUGCCUAAAUGUUCAUUAUAUGAUACAUACAAUAAAUACAUAUGAUAAGUAUGCAAUAGAAUACUGUGCCACCAUCAAAAAGAAUGAGUCAGCUCUGUAUAGUAUUGAUAGGAAAGAUGUUCAAAGUAUUUUAUUAAAUGAAAAUGUAAGAUGGUACAGUAAUAUAGACAGUUUGCUAUUAUUUUUAUGUGUGUGCCAGGGAAGAAGAUAUGCACAUCUAUGUUGGUAAAUGCAUUGGGUUCUUUAGAAGGAUACACAAGCAAGUGAGAUAGCAGGGGAUGCUUCUGGGAACGGAGCUGGGAGACUGAAUUCAAAGAACGGAGAGACUAAUGUUUUGCUGAAUAUCCUUUGUACUUUUAAAAUUUUGUACUGAAUUAUAUAUCUAUCACUUCUUCCCAAAUAUAUAUAUAUUUAUACUGAAUUUUGCAUGUAUUUCUUCUUCCAAAAUGUAUAUAUAUAUAAUGC